AAUUGACUGAUUGGAUGUCUUCAUCCUACUCACACAAUCAAGAUCAAGAUUGGAGAUCCAGUAAUGUUAUUACAAAAAAUAUUGGAUCAUGCUCAAGGCCACUGCAAUAGUACUCAUUACAUGGUACUCAACACUACUGACACUUUACUGACUUUGAGGACAAGUCAACAGUGUUGAUACUGGAACAGUGCUGACGUUUUCUUGAAUUCCUCUUUGGCCCUCUGAAACAGACUUACCAU